CACGGGUAAGCGACACCCCCACCCCGCCCCACUCCACAGACACGGACCCGCGCGGGUCCGGGGCGCACGUGCGUGCAGGCUUCUCCGUGUUGCUCUCGUAAAGGAUUUCAGGCUCGACACACAGGAGUUGUUUCUCCAUGAGCAGCCGUGGGGCAUUUGACCCAUGGUUUUGGCAGUAGAGACGAACCGAGGACGCGGCUCCCGCAGUCCUGACCUGGAAUUUGAACCUUCUUUGGUGCCUCUCCCUCCUCUCAGAGGGGGCGGAAGAUCUCCGGAUCUUCUGACUGCCAUCGAUCCAAGCUGAUUUGCUGAGCAUUGGCUUUGUAUCACGUCUGCGUGCUCCUAGAUAGAUGAUUUCAAUCUCAAAAAAACCCCGGUUUUUCACCGUCUGCAUGCAAAAUCUCCAGCAGAAAUUCCAUGAUCUGGAGCGAUUUGGUCCGAUGCCAUGAGAACGGGCUGCUCUGCACACCUUAGGAAGUGCAAAAAGGAAAAAGAAAAGAAGACAGAGCCUUCCGUGCUGCGGCCAGAUCGUUCAGUCACAUCAAAGCCGGCUGCCUCCUGUGCCGACAGGAGGACGUGACAGAUGUCCUUAACCUUUACAGGUGCAGGGCCUGCACUUCUUCAGUCUUUUUUCCUUGAAUGACUCGGAGCAUGGAUUAUUAGCAGCUCAGACUUCUUUGGCCAAAGUGCUUUGUUGCCUAUACAUCCAGGUUAAAUCUAAGCAAUAUUUCUGAUCCAUGUAGGCUUCUGACUUGGGUCUGCAUCUUUGGUGUUUACAAAAUGAUCAGCGUGUGAACUCUCCCUGUUCUGUUUCUUAAAUGUCAGCAGAAACUUUUUUUAAAAUAAAACAAUGCAGCCUCCCCUGCAAUGUUUGUAACCAAGAAACUGCGGCACCAGAAGAGCAUGAGAAAAUAUUGCUGAUUAAAACCAGGGUAAGAAAUGACAGCGAAAGUGAUUUUUUUUUUUCUCAUUGCAGAAUUCACAAUGAAGUGGCUGGUAACAUGGGACCAGCUGGUUUACCCCCACUUGUGCUGAAUGCUAGGUUUAAUGCACUGAAACCACUUCCACUGGCAUGUGGGGCUGGUCAUAUGCUUUUGAUACGAAAACUUUAACUUUGGUGUGAUUAUUUAAUUUCUUGUGUUGUAAAACACAUCUCACAGCAUAGCUUUCCCCCCACCUCUCUCUGUUUUGACAAAGCAAAGUAAGUUUGUGCUAUCGUCGGUUUUCCUUGCCUUGUUUUUCUCUUCUUCUUGCGUCUCAUUAAUACACAAGCAGUAUUAAAUAAUAAUGAUGCCAGUA